UGCAGUCGACGAGAUCCUUCGGGGUCUAGUGGCGCACGGGUGCGUAACGCGUGGGAAUCUGCCCUUGGGUUUGGAAUAACAGUUAGAAAUGACUGCUAAUACCAAAUGAUGUCUUCGGACCAAAGAUUUAUCGCCCAGGGAUGAGCCCGCGUAGGAUUAGCUAGUUGGUGGGGUAAAGGCCUACCAAGGCGACGAUCCUUAGCUGGUCUGAGAGGAUGAUCAGCCACACUGGGACUGAGACACGGCCCAGACUCCUACGGGAGGCAGCAGUGGGGAAUAUUGGACAAUGGGCGAAAGCCUGAUCCAGCAAUGCCGCGUGAGUGAUGAAGGCCUUAGGGUUGUAAAGCUCUUUUACCCGGGAAGAUAAUGACUGUACCGGGAGAAUAAGCCCCGGCUAACUCCGUGCCAGCAGCCGCGGUAAUACGGAGGGGGCUAGCGUUGUUCGGAAUUACUGGGCGUAAAGCGCACGUAGGCGGCUUGGUAAGUUAGAGG
rnacentral:rRNA from 1 species